rnacentral:rRNA from 1 species
UACAGAGGUCUCAAGCGUUGUUCGGAUUUACUGGGCGUAAGGGCGCGAUAGGCGGUCAGCACAAGUCAGUUGUGAAAUCUCCGGGCUUAACUCGGAAAGGUCAACUGAUACUGUGCGACUAGAGUGCAGAAGGGGCAACUGGAAUUCUCGGUGUAGCGGUGAAAUGCGUAGAUAUCGAGAGGAACACCCGUGGCGAAGGCGGUUCUCUGGGACGGUACUGACGCUGAGACGCGAAAGCGUGGGGAGCGAACAGG